AUGCACGCUGGCGGCAUGCCUAACACAUGCAAGUCGCUCGGUAAGGCUCUUCGGAGUCCACGUGAGGCGGACGGCUGAGUAACGCGUAGGAACACACCCUGCAGUGAGGGAUAAGACACCGAAAGGUGUUCUAAUACCGCAUACGGUCUUCGGAUUAAAGCAUUUAUGCGCUGAAGGAGUGGCCUGCGUCAUAUUAGAUAGUUGGUGAGGUAAUGGCUCACCAAGUCGAUGAUGUGUAGCUGGUCUGAGAGGAUGAUCAGCCAGACUGGAACUGAGACACGGUCCAGACUCCUACGGGAGGCAGCAGUGAGGAAUAUUUCACAAUGAGCGAAAGCUUGAUGGAGCAAUGCCGCGUGCAGGAUGAAGGCCCUCGGGUUGUAAACUGCUUUUAUAAGAGAAGAUUAUGACGGUAACUUAUGAAUAAGGGACGGCUAACUACGUG
rnacentral:rRNA from 1 species